GAAGUAGAGCAGCAAGUGUCUCUUAUUGCUAUGGCUGUGGCACGAGGGGGAGUUGCCACCACUUUCGGGGCUAGCCUAGUCAUCCCUUCGCAUGUGGAAGUUUCAAAGCCAAGUGUGUAUAGUAGCACUAGGAAUGCGAAGGAGAUUGAUAAUUUUCUUUAGAGUUUGGAGCAGUAUUUGAGGGCGAUAGGCAUUGCAGAUGAUGCCAUGAAGGUGGACCAUGCGCCCUUGUA
rnacentral:misc_RNA from 1 species